rnacentral:misc_RNA from 1 species
GUAUAGUAGUGCGUGUGCACAACAGUAAUUUCAUUACAUUCGAGUGUGUGUAAAAAUCCUCUGCCAGCCGAAGCGAGCAAGAGGCCAAAGGUUCACAGGGGUAUUGGAUGAAAGCCACCAACGUGCACUUGCAAGAGCCAGCACCGAAGGCAACCAUUCGCAAUCAUUAAUGAUCCUUCCGCAGGUUCACCUACGGAAA